AUGAGAAGUGACCGCGCCGGCGCUGAAAGCGCGGGGACAAGCCCGAGACCGGUCGGCGUGGCGGAGGAGGCAUCUUUCCAGCCUGGGGCGCGGUGGCGGCUGGCAAGGCUCCACUCGCAAGCUCCUCGCUGUCCGAUUCGCCUCUCAACCCAGUGCUGGGAGGCGUUAACCGCUCCCCUCCCCGCGCCCCGCGCAGCCGGAGUCGGGAACACAAUCCCAGUUCAGCCCGGUGGGCUGCUCCCGCCUUCGCCGUCCCCACUGGCGCGCCUAGAAGACCCGCUGGAGGGAACUCAGUGCCAGACCGCUGAAGUCCUGCACGGCUGGAGAAAAGACUUGCUUAGUUUCUUUGGAAGCGAUAAAAAGGGAAUAUGAGCCUCCGCCUUGGCCACCCAGAUGCUUCGCAUUUUGUAAACAUCUUCCAGUAAGUGCUCCGGACUCCCAAGAAGUUAACUGAAGUUGGAGGCGAGUCAUCCCAUGGAGGCGGAAUGGAAGGUUAGACGAGAGAAAACGGAGAACAGAGCGCCUCGCUGUCAGCGUCGGCCCCCAAAGGGCCACUCAGAGCGCACACUCAGACGUCCCCAACCGACUCCUUCCUUCCCCAUCUCCAUUUCGAACUAAGAGAGACCGAGCCUUUAAAAGCCAUUCAGAGAAGAACACUUGAAUCUUGCCGAACCCGAGUUAUUAUAAAUAGAGGAAAUCCACCGGAGGAUAGAUGUUCCCAGAUUCUCUCUGCUGCAUAAAGGCCGUUUCAACCGCCUCUCUGAGCCAGGCCAGCCCGCCUCGUCAAUGGGAACGCUGUUUCCAGCCCGCUGGGUACAGAAUUCCGUUGUAAAUCCUUCUAGUUUGCCAAGGUGGCAGCAAAGCAUAGGAAUAACUCCUCAGGCUGCAGCAGCAACUAGGGAGACCACAGUUUAGGAAGAAUAUUCAUCUACCUGCUUUUAAACAGCCAUCUUCGUGUGUGAGAGUGUACAUAAGUAUCCGCUCGAGGUUCUUUGGAAACCUCAGUGUGAUAUGACAGUAUAAUUAUUUCAUCUUUAAGGAUGCAUUUUUGUUUCAAGGCAAAACGGAACCCUGUUCAGGUUUUACUUUCUGAUGUAUGCUACUGGAAAAUGAAUGUGACUGAGAAAGGGAGAGGGGAUGCUUGCAGAUGUCCAGAAUUUGCAUAUAGAUGAUUGCUGUUUCUAAAGUAUAAGAGACUGUCCUGUGAACAUACUCCCAUUAAAGACUGCUGGUGCUGUUUAAUCCAGACAAGGAAAAUGAAGUAUGGAAAAUACCACACCAAAUAUAUGAAAUUUCUUAGGCACAUGACCCAUGAGUCAGCUCUAGAAAAGUAUGAUGGUGAGACCAGAGGAAGCAAAAAAAAAAAAAAAAAAAGUUAAUGUGGUUCAGGGGCUCCAGAGUAUAGUAGUUUUGCAGACUCACAAAACUGUGAUAAUUAGGUUAUUUUUAUAUUUUAUAUUUAUAUUUUAUAGAGAAACUAUCACUAGUACAUGAGUAUUGACAUGGAGAGAAGCAAAAAGCAAAUUUGUGAGCUUCAAAAACCAGAAUGGCUGUUAAUUGUGCUUAGGACUUCAAUCUCCAGGAGAGUUUUCAAUUGAAACUUAAUGGUUUCAAAUCCGUUAGUGCCUCCUCUCCAUGUUUCUUAUUCCCCUCCCCCUCUGCACCUGUGCAUUGACUUUUCUUUCUGAUACUCGGUUAAAGUAAAGAUAACAUAGAAUUUGGAUUCAUAAGAUCAUGGUUUAAGCCCAAAGGCACUAAAAAUUUUGAUCCUGGGUAAAUUCAGCUUCAAGCCACUGUCUUAUGAAAUGGACAUCCCAACACCUGUUCUACCAGCCUUAUAAUACUGUCAAAUCAUGAGUCAGUGUUUGUGAAAGUGCUUCAGAAAUUUCAGUUGCUGUUGUUGGUAACAGUACUAUCAUUACAUCACACAGUGUCAGCCUUCAGAACAUAGGAAAGUUACAUCAAGCUAAAGGUAGUUUCCUCUGAUGUUAUCGUCUUAGAUCACCUUGGCCCAUUUAUCAAAAGGAAGAACCAACACUGCUGCAUUGCUACUAACUAAACUCAAGACUUCAUUCCAGUAUUCUGGCCUGGAGAAUCCCAUGGACAGAAGAGACUGGUGGGCUAUAGUCCAUGGGGUUGCAAAGAGUCGGACAUGACUAAGCAGCUAAGCACAGAACAGCACAGCAGUGUGUGACACAUAUUUUAUGAGUGUGGCUUGGUUUUUGUGAUCCAGUGACAUUAAUAAAAUGAACAUCUUUCUGACUUUGGAACA
rnacentral:lncRNA from 1 species